ACCUGCGGAAGGAUCAUUACCGAGUGAGGGCCCUCUGGGUCCAACCUCCCACCCGUGUUUAUUUUACCUUGUUGCUUCGGCGGGCCCGCCUUAACUGGCCGCCGGGGGGCUUACGCCCCCGGGCCCGCGCCCGCCGAAGACACCCUCGAACUCUGUCUGAAGAUUGAAGUCUGAGUGAAAAUAUAAAUUAUUUAAAACUUUCAACAACGGAUCUCUUGGUUCCGGCAUCGAUGAAGAACGCAGCGAAAUGCGAUACGUAAUGUGAAUUGCAAAUUCAGUGAAUCAUCGAGUCUUUGAACGCACAUUGCGCCCCCUGGUAUUCCGGGGGGCAUGCCUGUCCGAGCGUCAUUGCUGCCCUCAAGCCCGGCUUGUGUGUUGGGCCCCGUCCCCCGAUCUCCGGGGGACGGGCCCGAAAGGCAGCGGCGGCACCGCGUCCGGUCCUCGAGCGUAUGGGGCUUUGUCACCCGCUCUGUAGGCCCGGCCGGCGCUUGCCGAUCAACCCAAAUUUUUAUCCAGGUUGACCUCGGAUCAGGUAGGGAUACCCGCUGAACUUAAGCAUAUCAAUAAGGCGGAGGA
rnacentral:rRNA from 1 species